UCUUCUUUCUCACAUGCCUAUUUAAAUGGAAAACUAAUUUUCAAAGCACCCGUUUGGUUCUUCUUCAGUUUUACUCAUCUCACGAGUCACUCGCAAAAUGCCCCCAAUUUCUUCCUCAAGUUAGGGUUUCACGUUUCAACCUUGAUUUCUUGCAUUCAUGGAUUCCAUCUGCGCCAGCUCUUCGUAUACGGUUCCUCACCUUUUCUGCCGCAAAACUCUUCUGCCUCGAACUUCUAUUCCUUAUUCUUCUUCGGUUCAGCGGAGCAAGAAGACGCGGAUUUCGAAUUCCGCUGCUACGGGAACUACUGCCUCAAACGGCGCCGUUUCAAGGGCGUUGCAGCAGCAAGUGAGCAACAGUGCGUUGGAGCAGCUCGACAUCGAGCGUGGCGUUUGCAUCCCUUUCCGCAAGUACUCUCCAGAGAUCGUGAGGAAUAAGGUAUUAGAAUCAAGAGGGGCUAUUUUGUCCCUUAUGCUGCGGGGAGUGGAGAUAGUUUGGAAUUUGGGCUUGUACUGGUCUAACUUGGUGUAUGAUUUCCUGGUUGGAAGGGAUGAAGAGGUUGUUCCAUAUCGUGCUCGGCAGCUUAGGAACCUCUUGUGUGACCUGGGGCCUUCCUUCAUCAAAGCUGGUCAAGUCCUUGCAAACAGGCCAGAUAUCAUUCGAGAAGAUUAUAUGAAUGAACUUUGCAUUCUUCAAGAUGAUGUUCCUUCAUUUCCCAAUCAAAUUGCCUUCAGAAUCAUAGAGGAGGAACUGGGUCAGCCGCUUGAAGCUGUUUUCAGCAGAAUCUCAUCAGAGACUAUAGCAGCUGCAAGUUUAGGUCAAGUUUACCGAGCUACUUUACGUGCCACUGGAGAGGAUGUUGCUAUCAAGGUUCAAAGGCCUGGGAUAGAGCCCAUUAUAUAUCGAGAUCUUUUCCUAUUCCGCACUUUGGCUUCAUUUUUAAAUGGCAUUAGUAUACAGAAACUGGGGUGUAAUGCAGAGCUAAUUGUUGAUGAAUUUGGUGAAAAGCUUUUGGAAGAGCUUGAUUAUACCUUGGAAGCACGCAAUCUUGAAGACUUCAUUGAGAAUUUUAAAAAUGAUCCUACUGUCAAAAUUCCUCAGGUCUACAAACAAUUUUCUGGUUCACGAGUGUUAGUAAUGGAAUGGAUUGAUGGUAUCAGGUGCACCAAUCCACAGGCCAUCAAGGAAGCUGGUCUUGAUGUAGACGGAUUUUUAACAAUUGGAGUGAGUGCUGCGCUAAGACAACUGUUGGAAUUUGGAUUAUUUCAUGGGGACCCUCACCCUGGAAAUAUUUUUGCCAUGCGGGAUGGGAGAAUUGCAUAUGUGGACUUUGGCAAUGUUGCUGUUCUUAGUCAGCAAAAUAAACAGAUUUUAAUUGAUGCCGUUGUCCACGCUGUGAAUGAGGACUAUGCUGAGAUGGCUAAUGACUUCACCAGAUUAGGCUUCCUGACACCAGGGACUGAUGUCACUCCUAUAGUUCCUGCUCUGGAAGCAAUUUGGCAGAACUCUGCUGGAAAGGGACUGUCAGAUUUUAAUUUUCGUAGUGUCACUGGAAAGUUUAACCAGUUGGUUUACAAUUAUCCCAUUCGAAUCCCAGAAAGGUUUUCUCUUGUAAUCCGUUCUUUGUUGACCCAAGAAGGCAUCUGUUUUACUCUGAAGCCUGACUUCAAAUUUCUUGAGGUUGCGUAUCCUUAUGUGGCGAAGCGACUACUGACAGACCCAAAUCCAGCUCUACGUGAACGCCUCAUACAGGUUCUAUUCAAAGAUGGUCUCUUCCAGUGGAAACGGCUAGAAAACCUUAUUGUUCUUGCGAAGGAAAAUGUGGCCAAGAUGAGCAGCAAUCCAGCAUUAAAAGCAAAGCCAGAGAAACUGGAAAGUAGAAAGAAAAUUGGACCUCACAGACACUAUCAAAGAUGGAGCUCGCCUUUUCUUUGUUGAUGAAGGAAUACGUAGACAGCUUCUUCUUGCUUUGACGGAGGACUCAAAGCUUCAUAUUGAAGAGCUUGUUGACGUGUAUAGGCUGGUUGAAGAUCAGAUAGACAUACCCUCAGUGGCUGUAGAAGUAGCUAGAGAUUUGCCAACGGUUGUGAGGGAUCUCCUACUUUCAUGGAGUGAGUCAGUAUUGUCCGAUAGAUAGCUAAAUCUUUGGACUACCUGCACAUAGCAAAUACAGAUACUGUUUCAGCCAGAUGAGUAUACGUUACACGUCCUAUAUUUUCUCUUGAUUCCUUAUAUAUAAUCAAAAGGUUUAUUAUUAGGUUUUAAAUGACGGUCAUCUCUUGUAACUAAAGGAAAUCAAUACUAUAGUUGUGUAAGAAUCAUUGUUUUGCUCAAUAUGAAGUUGUAAUUUCAAGGGAAAAAGUUCAGAAAAUUCAAGUAAUCCUUGAACCUCCUUCAACGUUGUCUUUUUUAUAAAUCUUAACUCAUAAUUCA